CACUAUUAAUCCGAAGAAAACACGUUUCAAUCCUGCAUCUAGGGUUUCAGCCAAAUCGCCUCUCUCUAAGAAACCUAAUCGACCUCUGUAGUUGAUUUGCAUUUAAUCUCAUCGUUACUUCACUUCAUCUUCCUUCUCUGUAUUCAAUUCUCAUUAUAUCUCCAAGGCGAGACAGAAGCUAUGGAACCCUAAUAUAAUAGCACGUAAAUGAAGUGCUUCAGUUAGAUCGUUUCAAUUCCUUUAAGACACGCCCUUCCUCACGAAUAAUCUAACCCUUCGUUCCAGUCUCCACCCUUGAAUUGAAUCCACACACACAUGAGAGCGAGAAGGGAUCCAAAGGAGACGAUGACAAUGAUUCAACGGCGGUUAAGGAUCAAACGGUGGCGACGAUGGUUUCAAUGAUUCAACAGUUUGAAGUGUUGUAUCUGGAUAUGGUGGGACGUCAAUACGAUUGCUUGAUUAACCCUCUCGGGGCCGUCCGAUCAACGUUUGAGAAGGUGGUGGCAACUGGUGCAGAUCCGACAUCAUUUGACGGUAAAGAUUGGGGCGUACCAGAUCUAUUUCGAGAAUAUCUUUUUCAAAACGAAGCCGUCAGUUAGGUUCCGAUUCUGACUCAUUCAACGGUUAAAUGGGCUGGAUAGAUGAACAACCUUUCGCUGCUACUAAGUCCGGAACUGGCAUUGUUAUUGCUGUCAAAAAGCUUCAUCAAGAAAGUUUUCAAAGUCACAGGGAAUGGCUGAUUUGAGUAUCCACAACGUUUCAGAAAUUAAUGAAAGAGAACUGCAUGGAGCCUUUCUUUGUCUCUCAGGUCUUCUGUAUGGGACUUUGGUGUCUAGAUGAAAAAACCAAAUGGAUACGGGUGGCGACCUAAUAAUAACGAAGAAGAUCUUGGGAAAGUAGUUCAGGACGAUCGUCAUUCUUUGUGAUCGACUAUCUCGCUCGAUUCGCCGUCGAUGAACACAACAAGAAGCAGAAUACCCUGCUGGAAUUUGGUAAGGUACUGGAUGCAAAGGAGCAGUUAGUAGCUGGUACAUUGUAUUUUAUCACACUUGAAGCAACUGAUGGUGGUGU